UACGGAGGGGGCUAGCGUUGUUCGGAUUUACUGGGCGUAAAGGAUGCGUAGGCGGACAUUUAAGUCAGAUGUGAAAUACCCGAGCUUAACUUGGGUGCUGCAUUUGAAACUGGGUGUCUAGAGUGCAGGAGAGGUAAGUGGAAUUCCUAGUGUAGCGGUGAAAUGCGUAGAGAUUAGGAAGAACACCAGUGGCGAAGGCGACUUACUGGACUGUAACUGACGCUGAGGCAUGAAAGCGUGGGGAGCAAACAGG
rnacentral:rRNA from 1 species